ACCACCCUGAACGGCCGGAUCUGUCUGAUCUCCGAAGCUAAGCAGGGUCGGCUUGGUUCGAUACUUGGAUAGGAGAUAAGGGAACAUCAGAGA
rnacentral:rRNA from 1 species